rnacentral:lncRNA from 1 species
GUCUGUUUAAUGUUUUAAAUUUUGUAUAUUCUAUGUGUUGUAUUUUUAAAUAAUACAUCUGUACAUUACAAUUAGUGAUACAUUAUUUAAAAAAAAUAUUGUGUUCGUUCAACUAAACAGGAGUCCAAGAAAUGAAGACAACGUGAAAGCGGAUGGUAUGGUUAUGUCAAUUUUGUAUGGACGUCUCGUCAUUGUUAUCCUGUUUUUGUCACAAUAACUU